CCUUCCGUCUUUCUUUUUUCUUUCUUAAUUCCAUUCUCUCUCUUUUCUUUCUUUCCUUUCUUCCUACUUUGUGUG
rnacentral:ribozyme from 14 species